rnacentral:rRNA from 1 species
UGGGGAAUAUUGCACAAUGGGCGCAAGCCUGAUGCAGCCAUGCCGCGUGUGUGAAGAAGGCCUUCGGGUUGUAAAGCACUUUCAGCGGGGAGGAAGGCGGUGAGGUUAAUAACCUCAUCGAUUGACGUUACCCGCAGAAGAAGCACCGGCUAACUCCGUGCCAGCAGCCGCGGUAAUACGGAGGGUGCAAGCGUUAAUCGGAAUUACUGGGCGUAAAGCGCACGCAGGCGGUUUGUUAAGUCAGAUGUGAAAUCCCCGGGCUCAACCUGGGAACUGCAUCUGAUACUGGCAAGCUUGAGUCUCGUAGAGGGGGGUAGAAUUCCAGGUGUAGCGGUGAAAUGCGUAGAGAUGUGGAGGAAUACCGGUGGCGAAGGCGGCCCCCUGGACAAAGACUGACGCUCAGGUGCGACAGCGUGGGGAGCAAACAGG